CCCAGACUCCUACGGGAGGCAGCAGUGGGGAAUAUUGCACAAUGGGGGGAACCCUGAUGCAGCGACGCCGCGUGGGUGAAGAAGUCAUUCGUGACGUAAAGCCCUAUCAGCAGGGAAGAAAAUGACGGUACCUGACUAAGAAGCCCCGGCUAACUACGUGCCAGCAGCCGCGGUAAUACGUAGGGGGCAAGCGUUAUCCGGAUUUACUGGGUGUAAAGGGAGCGUAGACGGCUAAUCAAGUCAGAAGUGAAAACCCAGGGCUCAACUUUGGGACUGCUUUUGAAACUGAGUAGCUAGAGUGCAGGAGAGGUAAGCGGAAUUCCUAGUGUAGCGGUGAAAUGCGUAGAUAUUAGGAGGAACACCAGUGGCGAAGGCGGCUUACUGGACUGUAACUGACGUUGAGGCUCGAAAGCGUGGGGAGCAAACAGGAUUAGAUACCCCGGUAA
rnacentral:rRNA from 1 species